rnacentral:tRNA from 1 species
GGGGAUUUAGCUCAGUGGUAGAGCGCUUGCCUAGCAAGCACAAGGCCCUGGGUUCAGACCCCAGCUCCG